rnacentral:rRNA from 1 species
UACAGAGGGGGGCAAGCGUUGUUCGGAAUUACUGGGCGUAAAGGGCUCGUAGGCGGCCAACUAAGUCAUACGUGAAAUCCCUCGGCUUAACCGGGGAACUGCGUCUGAUACUGGAUGGCUUGAGUUCGGGAGAGGGAUGCGGAAUUCCAGGUGUAGCGGUGAAAUGCGUAGAUAUCUGGAGGAACACCGGUGGCGAAGGCGGCAUCCUGGACCGAUACUGACGCUGAGGAGCGAAAGCCAGGGGAGCAAACGGG